GGGAGUAGCUGUCAUUGAAAAUAUCUUUAUUGGUACUCACCAACAUCACUAUCCAUUUCUUUAUAUAAAGAUAAAAGAGACAACCUAGCAAAAGAUGUGGAAAAUUGCUGUGCUAUAGCUAGCAGCUAGCCGCCGGUCACUAAACCCUAGCAAAUGGGUAAUUGUAAUUCAUGCCUCCCACAAACCCCAAACCACACUGAGCUGGAGAAUCCAGGUUAACCCCCACUCCUUUUUGCUCUUUUUUAAAAAAUAUUUCUUCUAUACUAUUUGCAUUUCAAUAUGUUUCUUUUUAUGUAGAAUCUCGAGCAAAUCCUCUCCCUCCUUUUACUGCUCCACAUCCGGUAGAUAUUUCCACUGUUCCAGGUUGCUAACUCUUCCUUCUUUUACUUUUUAUACGUAGUUAAUGUCAUGUUCAUUUCAUAAAAGAUGCAUUUUAUACGUAGUUAAUGUCAUGUUCAUUCCAUAAAAGAUGCAUUAAAAGAUAAUCGUAUUUAUAUCAUCAUAAAUUAUGAUAAUAUCUGAGCUCUGUUUCAACUUUCAAGUGGAUUUGUAUUCAUUUGAAAAUCGCACCACUAUUUUUAUUUUUGGGUCGAAGAAAAUAGCAGCACCACUGUAGGAAGCCUAAGAUGAUUCUAGUUAGUCCAGGCAGAGCUAGAUAGAGCCAACCGCAACCGGUGACUGCCCUUGUUUGGUUACCUUACAAAUAUAUAUAUCAAACAAAAAAAACCCACCAUUUAGGCCACAAUAGUAAUUAAGUACCAUACGUAUAGGCUUAUAGGGGCCUGGAUAGGAGAAAAGUUGCAUCCUACUGUUUUAUUUAUUUAUUUAUUUAUUUUAUUGUUUUUCAAACUUCAAGAACCCAUAUUGACUUUGUAUAUGCUGAAUCUUUUCUGAUUGGAUGCUCCUAUCAUCCUCUCUUCUUUUCUCAGAUAGCCACAGAAUCUGCAUGAAAGUUUUCAAAUUAAAAUAUACAUUCAUUUUUUCAUUAUAAUAUAUAAUCCUUUCUGAAGAAAAAGAAAAAUAUAAUCUGUUCUAUUCUAUCUAUAUAAGCAGUAAGUGGUAGGGUUUUAGCUGCACCGUUACUGGUGCUUCAUGUUGCUUACUCUGUUUUUCUGCUGUAUGAGUUAUAACCCUCAUGUCAGAACCAGUUUAAAAUAAAUUUAUAUAUAUUUAUAUAUAAAUGAUAUUGAAGUGAGAAUUAAAGGAUAAGUUAUCAGGUUUUUGACAGCAAAUAGCAGUACAAAAAUGAGAUCUGCACAUUUGAAACUUCUUACUUUUUAGUUUGGUUAACACUGCACUUUGAUUUUGUGAUAAAGUAGGAAAAAGUUAUCUAUUUAUUUAUUUAUUUUCAUUGAAUUGGAUUAUGAAGCUCAUGAGAUAGAUUGCAUUAUCUGAUGUCUUGUAUAUCAAUUGGUGUAGAGCACUAGUUCCAAUUUGGAUACUCAGUUGAAACAGUUGUGAGAGAAUUUCUAGCUGAUAGCUUGGUACGUCCUUGUAGACCCGAAAUUUUAUAUCCUAAACCCCCCCAAAAAAAACAGCAUAAGAUAAGGAAAUAGAAGAAGCAGAGGUAUCCUUGGUACAAAGAUACACUAACCACUUUUCCGAACAACUACCACUUUUGACUAAAAAAUAUUACACAAAAAAACCUAAGUCCUAGUGGGGUCGUGAUAUUUCUAUCCAGCUAGCUAUUUGUUUUAGUUGCUGGAACUAUAAGGGUUUUGGGUAGAGCUGGAGCUGAGAUUGAGGUCAGGAAUAUUGUUGUUUGCUGCUGCAUUUGCUUUUGAGUUUGUCUUGGACAGCUUCUGCUUCAUCUCAGAAAGCAGAGCUUGAUUCUCCUGGUUGCUGCAGCAGCAGCAGCAGCUAGGGUGCUUCUCAAUUUUUAUCUUAUUAAUCUUUUCUUAUACUAAUUAUUAUAUCAAUUUUAAUUUACCUACUUUUGAUACAGCACCUGGUGCCUCUUCAUCAUAUGCUUUUGCUGCUGGUCCUUCAAACACUGAGGGUGAGGACUUGGAUGAAACACCUUCCAUGGUUGCUGCUGACUAUGGUGGGAUUAUUUUGGAAGAGGGACAGCAGCCUAACUUUCACAUGUUCAAGGAGAAAGAUCUCUAAAAAAUAGUUAUCCAGUUCAAAAGACAUGUCUUGAAUCAAGUAGGUAUUUACCAGCUUUUUAGGAUCGUUUUUAUUGUCCUCGAGAUACUGCAAAGUAGCCCUAGUCACAUUUAGAUCUACACUGUUAUCUAGUUUGUUGCCUUUCAUCAAUUCUAGCACCACAACUCCAAAAGAAAACACAUCUCUCUCAGGAGAACAGUGAUCUGCUAUUCUUCCUACUGCUUCAUUUAGUUUAAG
rnacentral:lncRNA from 1 species